rnacentral:rRNA from 1 species
ACACCAGCGCCACAAGUGGCAACCGCUUUUAUUGGGCCUAAAGCGUCCGUAGCCUGUUUAGUAAAUUUUCUGUGAAAUUGUUGGGCUUAACUUAACAUCAUGCAGGAAAGACUGCUAGACUAGGGACCGGGAGGCGUCAGAGGUAUUCUUGAGGGAGUGGUAAAAUGCUAUAAUCUCAGGAGGACCACCAGUGGCGAAAGCGUCUGACGAGAACGGAUCCGACGGUAAGGGACGAAAGCUAGGGGAGCAAACCGGAUUAGAUACCCGAGUAGUCC